rnacentral:rRNA from 1 species
ACGUAGGGGGCAAGCGUUAUCCGGAUUUACUGGGUGUAAAGGGAGCGUAGACGGCAUGGCAAGUCUGAAGUGAAAACCCAGGGCUCAACCCUGGGACUGCUUUGGAAACUGUCAAGCUAGAGUGCAGGAGAGGUAAGUGGAAUUCCUAGUGUAGCGGUGAAAUGCGUAGAUAUUAGGAGGAACACCAGUGGCGAAGGCGGCUUACUGGACUGUAACUGACGUUGAGGCUCGAAAGCGUGGGGAGCAAACAG